GACAGAGGGUGGCAAACGUUGUUCGGAUUUACUGGGCGUAAAGCGCGUGUAGGCGGCUUCGUAAGUUGGAUGUGAAAUCCCACGGCUCAACCGUGGACGUGCAUCCAAAACUACGUCGCUGGAGUCUCGGAGAGGAAGGUGGAAUGCUUGGUGUAGAGGUGAAAUUCGUAGAUAUCAAGCAGAACACCUGCGGCGAAGGCGGCCUUCUGGACGAUGACUGACGCUGAGACGCGAAAGCGUGGGGAGCAAACAGG
rnacentral:rRNA from 1 species